GAUGAGCGCUAGCUACAGGCUUAACACAUGCAAGUCGAGGGGAAACGAUAUUGGAAGCUUGCUUCCGAUAGGCGUCGACCGGCGCACGGGUGAGUAACGUGUAUCCAACCUGCCCACCACUUGGGGAUAACCUUGCGAAAGUAAGACUAAUACCCAAUGAUAUCUCUAGAAGACAUCUGAAGGAGAUUAAAGAUUUAUCGGUGAUGGAUGGGGAUGCGUCUGAUUAGCUUGUUGGCGGGGUAACGGCCCACCAAGGCGACGAUCAGUAGGGGUUCUGAGAGGAAGGUCCCCCACAUUGGAACUGAGACACGGUCCAAACUCCUACGGGAGGCAGCAGUGAGGAAUAUUGGUCAAUGGACGAGAGUCUGAACCAGCCAAGUAGCGUGCAGGAUGACGGCCCUAUGGGUUGUAAACUGCUUUUAUAAGGGAAUAAAGUGAGCCUCGUGAGGCUUUUUGCAUGUACCUUAUGAAUAAGGACCGGCUAAUUCCGUGCCAGCCGCCGCAGUAA
rnacentral:rRNA from 1 species